CCGGAAAGAGGAGUGGCGAACGGGUGAGUAACACGUGGGUAACCUGCCCAUCAGAAGGGGAUAACACUUGGAAACAGGUGCUAAUACCGUAUAACAAUCGAAACCGCAUGGUUUUGAUUUGAAAGGCGCUUUCGGGUGUCGCUGAUGGAUGGACCCGCGGUGCAUUAGCUAGUUGGUGAGGUAACGGCUCACCAAGGCCACGAUGCAUAGCCGACCUGAGAGGGUGAUCGGCCACAUUGGGACUGAGACACGGCCCAAACUCCUACGGGAGGCAGCAGUAGGGAAUCUUCGGCAAUGGACGAAAGUCUGACCGAGCAACGCCGCGUGAGUGAAGAAGGUUUUCGGAUCGUAAAACUCUGUUGUUAGAGAAGAACAAGGAUGAGAGUAACUGUUCAUCCCUUGACGGUAUCUAACCAGAAAGCCACGGCUAACUACGUGCCAGCAGCCGCGGUAAUACGUAGGUGGCAAGCGUUGUCUGGAUUUAUUGGGCGUAAAGCGAGCGCAGGCGGUUUCUUAAGUCUGAUGUGAAAUCCCCCGGCUCAUCCGGGGAGGGUCAUUGGAAUCUGGGAGACUUGAGUGCAGAAGAGGCGAGUGGAUUUCCAUGUGUAGCGGUGAAAUCCGUAGAUAUAUGGAGGAACACCAGUGGCGAAGGCGGCUCUCUGGUCUGUAACUGUCGCUGAGGCUUGAAAGCGUGGGGAGCAAACAGGAUUAGAUACCCUGGUAGUCCACGCCGUAAACGAUGAGUGCUAAGUGUUGGAGGGUUUCCGCCCUUCAGUGCUGCAGCUAACGCAUUAAGCACUCCGCCUGGGGAGUACGUCCGCAAGGUUGAAACUCAAAGGAAUUGACGGGGGCCCGCACAAGCGGUGGAGCAUGUGGUUUAAUUUGAAGCAACGCGAAGUACCUUACCAGGUCUUGACAUCCUUUGCCCACUCUAGAGAUAGAGCUUCCCCUUCGGGGGCAAAGUGACAGGUGGCGCAUGGUUGUCGUCAGCUCGUGUCGUGAGAUGUUGGGUUAAGUCCCGCUACGAGCGCAACCCUUAUUGUUAGUUGCCAUCAUUCAGUUGGGCACUCUAGCAAGACUGCCGGUGACAAUCCGGAGGAAGGUGGGGAUGACGUCAAAUCAUCAUGCCCCUUAUGACCUGGGCUACACACGUGCUACAAUGGGAAGUACAACGAGUUGCGAAGUCGCGAGCAUAAGCUAAUCUCUUUUUCUUCUUUCAGUUCGGAUUGCAGGCUGCAACUCGCCUGCAUGAAGCCGGAAUCGCUAUAUCGCGAUCAG
rnacentral:rRNA from 1 species